GACGAACUGACUGGUCUCGUUGGUCUGGUUAAUCUGGCACCAACUUUUGGUGGGUCUGAUUUCCUGAUCCGUUUCUCCUUCAUCUGAGGUUCAUCACCACCGUUGUUCUCUGUUUCACCGCUUCUCGAGACCCUCUUCUUUCUAGUCGCUUCAUUGAGGUUCAAAGAAUCGUUUCUUCGAGCAGCACUAGCCUUGAGCCGGUUUGAUGUUCUCAAGAUGUUGUUGUUAUUGUUGUUGGAUUCCGCAUUCUCAUUGCCGAAGUUAUCUUCUUUGAAACAAGUCUUCACUUCGUUAGGAGUAGCACUCGCAACAUCAGGGAACUCUCUCGUUGCUGCCAUUUGCUGUACGUGCAGCUCUUGCUCCUUUAGCCUCACUUCAAGCUCUUUAAUCUGCAAAAAUCAAAAACCAAAGUCUUUUCACAUAUCCGGGUGACUUGAUAAACUCGAAGAUCCUUGAGACAAUCCAUGAAACCAACCUUCUGUCGUAGUAAAACUGCUUCUUGAGUUUGCUCGUCUUUUUGUUUUCUCUCCAACUCUUUAAUCUGAAACACCAUAUCGAAUCGAAGGCCGAGAUGUUGAGACAUUUAUUUAAAAUAAAAAGAUUGUAAAGUUUUGAGAAUGAAUCAGUGCGCCUUCCUAACCUUAUGUUGCCAUACAAGAGCGUUGCUUUCAGAAUCUUUCAACUUAUUCUCAUAAUCCUUAGCCUUCUGUUGCAACACAAGGGAGUUUCCUUCAGAGUCUUUCAACUUAGUCUCAAGAUCCUUAACCUGCAAGCAUCAUUUAAGAUGUUUGGACUGUCUAUAACAAUCAUAAUGAGCUUUAUGUAACAAUCAACAUUGAUAUAAGUAAACCUUCUGUUGGUAAGCUGCAGAGUCUGAUUGGUGUCUCUCCCGAAGCUUACACUCUAGCUCCUUGACCUUUAAAUGAGAAGACGGUUUGUUAGUCAUAAAAUGGUAAGAAAAUCAAUAAUAUCAUCAAGUGGAAGAAAAUAAACCUUCUGCUGGAGAUUGGUACAAGUCUCAUCUCUGCUUUUUAGUUUUUCUUGAAGCUGUGCGUUUUGCUUUUCCGAUUGGUUAUGCAGUGACUCAAGCUGGCUUUCAAGCUCUUUGUUCUUUUCCUGGAGACUUCGGUAUGAAUGGUCUCUUCCUUUAUUCUUACCUUCCAGGUUCUGUAUGUUCUCUUCCAGCUUCUUUAUCAAUUCCUCUUUAGAUCGGCUUUCAUGUCUUGCUUUCUCCACCUUUAAAAGAUUUACAUUGAGCAAUAAGAGAAAGCUGUGUGACGCAACCCAGGAAGAUCAAAACAAAAGCCUUUCAGAAGUCAUACCAUUGCUUUCAUCUUCUGAAUCUCACCGGUAUCAACUUGCUUCCUCGCAGGACCCAACUCAACUCCUCUCACACGCGUUGCAAAGUUUAGUGAACUUAAAGUCUCACUCACAUCGUGCUCAGAAGGACUGAUUUGCACAAACAUCAGCGUCUUGGAGUCACCUCCUGCAUCAUUUGCACAUUCACACAAGUUUUUAAGCUCAGUGUAACCACAGAUUGAUCCUUAUGAAAAGGUAAAUAACGAUUCUUACCCAAUGAAUCUUGUAGUAAGUGAGUUAAUUUCGAGUUUCUGAAAGUGAACAAAUGGAAAAGUGUUAACGCAGACAGUAUUAUUAAGCUCAUAACAGAGACGGAGAGAGAUAUAGACUAACCGGUAUGGAAUGUGACUGCUCUUUGUAGCCAAUGCAUAAAUCACAUCCCCAAGAGCUGAUAGCGAUCUAUUGAUGUUCUGUGCUUCCUUCAGACGCUCACCUUGCACGUCAGUCUUUGCCAACCUCUCACUUCCUGCUAAAUCAACAAGCCAAAGCGUGCUUUUUGUGCAGUCACCAUUCAUCAGGUUCUUCGCUUUCACCAUUAUAGAGAGCAUGCUGCGAAGAAAACUUAAUAUAUCAAACAACCCUCAUAGUGAAAUAUAAGAUGAGGGAAAGCCAAACAUUCAAAAAACAUAGUGAGAGGGGGAUAAAUCCAAAUAUACCAGUGCGAGCGGCUACUAUGUUCAUUCACAUUGUUGGAUCCAACAGCUCUUGCAUUGCUCCCAGCUUGAAGCACAUUCCACACUUCAUUUAUAUUUUCCACUUUUGCUUCAACUAACCCAGGAACAUGAUGGGAUCCAUCAAAUGAUUGUUUGAUCUCCAACCUGAGUAACCAUAUCAAUAAAUAUUGCGAUCAAGCUCUGUAAAAAGUCUAUGUUUUAGUUGUGUGUUUAAAGUAGAGAUUUUUACUUCUUUGAAGCUGGUGAUGUUGCCAAUAAGUCUCUUAUCUGUUCGUUGUAGACCUCAAGGACACUAACAGAAAUAUUAUAUGAAAUUGUCUCUCGCCUUUCGUUAGCAAUUUCAAACAACUGCUCAACGGUUCUAUAGUUGACACCCCUGUUCUGUGGGGUACCUUCCAUUGUAAACGUCUUCCCUGUUCCUGUUUGCCCGUAUGCAAAGAUACACACAUUGUAGCCGUCUAGCACAUUUGUUGGUUUGGCACCAUGUGGUGAAGCCGGUUCAUGGCAAACCGAAUCAAAGGUAUAAUAAUAAUAGUAGAUAUACUUCAUACAAAUGUAGAAAUGCUAUAAUCUAUAAUAAUUUUUAUUUAUUUGUGACAAAAGGGGUAUCAGUUUUGGACGAAAGCUGACAGAAAAGGAAGAUUCAUAAUAGAGAAUGUGAGGGCAGGCAAUUAUAGUCUCUACGCAUGGGGUUAUGGUUUUAUCGGUGACUAUAAAUAUGAACAAAACAUUACCAUCACUCCAGGUACCAUACUACCAUAGUGACAUAACGUAGAUGCAGAAAAAAAAAUCGUGGUUUCGUAGUUUUAAGCCCCCACUAAAAGGCCCAUUCUAUUCAUCUUGGUGUGCAGGUAGUCAGAUGAAUGUAGGGCCUAUAGUGUAUGAGCCACCUAGAAACGGUCCAACGUUGUGGGAAAUAGGUGUACCGGACCGAACAGCCGGAGAGUUCUAUAUACCGGAUCCUUAUCCUACACUUAUGAAUAAGCUUUAUGUUAACCCACUUCAAGACAGGUUAGUACCAUAAUCUUAAGUACUCUGAUCUAUAAAUAUUUUUACUACCUAUGAGUAGAUAUCAUCAUUUCCAAGUUUUAGACAUUUUUUGUUGUUUAUGAAUAUAAAGAACAUAAUUUGAACUGAAUUUUAAAAUGCAGAUUUAGACAAUAUGGAUUAUGGGAUCGUUACGCAGAUUUAUACCCUCAAAACGAUCUUGUCUACACAGUCGGUGUUAGUGAUUAUAAAAGAGAUUGGUUCUUUGCACAUGUAACCAGGUACCUACAUAUAAUUAAGUUCUAUCCCAAUUCCUAAAUGACAAAUCAUCUAUCUAAUCAAAUUCUUUCUUAUAUUAAACCAAAUUUUUUUUUUUGCUUCUUAUAAUAAUAAUAUAGAAAUGCUGGAAAUAAUACAUACGAUUCAACGACAUGGCAAAUAAUAUUUAACCUGGAAAACGUGAACCGUGUCGGUCUCUACACGCUCAGAAUAGCUCUAGCCUCAGCUGCUGAUUCCGAGUUACAAGUUCGGGUCAACAAUCCGAAAUCCGAUCAUAUUUUCACGACCGGUUUAAUCGGAAAAGACAAUGCCAUUGCAAGACAUGGGAUUCAUGGGUUAUAUAGAUUGUAUAGUAUCAACGUUGCCGGAGAUUUACUAAGUGUUGGUGAUAAUACCAUAUAUUUAACUCAAUCGAGAAGUGUAGGACCGUUUCAAGGUGUUAUGUAUGAUUAUAUUCGUCUUGAAAGUCCUUUUACAACUUGAAUAAGUAAUAGGAUUUAUAGUGGAAAUAAUUUACCGUGGAGGGUAUUUAUAUUUUAUUUUCUAGAGUUGUUUUUAUUCAUUUGUAUGUAAUGUAAUACCGAGGGUGUGAAUAUUAAUAAAACCAAAUUUAUUAAUCUAUACUAGGUGUUUUCCUGCAUCUCAUAUGCAACAAUUUGUUUUUUAAAUAAUUUUUUUAUUAAUAUUAUAGAUUUUACUAUUUUACCAAUAUUUUAAUAUAAAUUUGAUUUGAUUAAAUAUAGAAUUAAGAUAAAAAUAAUUUUUUAUUUUAAAUUAUAUUAAAGAAUAUAUAUGUACAUAUCUAAAAUUAUAAUCUUAAAUAGAUUUUUUAUCUAUUUCUUUUGGUUAAAUAUAUUAAACCAACUUGUAUAAAAUUAAUAAAAAAAACUGAUACAAAAAUCGUAUAAUUAUAAAAAUUUAAACUAAAAGCAUUUUUAAAAUUUGUAGAUAUAUAAAAGAAACUAAUGAUAUUACGAUUAAAAAUUAUAAUUUUUCAAAAAAAAAAUUAGAAAAUUUUAAAAUUUUAAAAAUAGAAUUAAAUAAUAUUUCAAAAUUUGUAAUGUCAUAUUUGAGUUAUUUUAAUGAUGGUAUAUGAGUUAUUACCAUAUUCUAAAAAGUUUAUAAAAAAUAUAAAUCAACAUUAAAUAUAAUGUAUGAGUUAUUACCAUAUCCUAUAAUAUUUAUCAAAAAUAUAAAUCAACAUUAAAUGUAAUUGUUCAUGUCAUAUUUGGUCAUAAAACAUGCUAUCAAUUUUAUUAGACAUGUUACAUUUUUUUUGUGAAAUUGAUUGUAAAGCGGACAUGCGGCAAAUAAAACGUAUAGGGGAUAUGAUUUAUGCAUUUUUAACAUAUAGUAGAAGACAUGAUACGGAAUGGUAGUCUACAGUCAUAAUAUUUUGUAAAAUCAUCAUAUAUUGUUUAUAUAAGUUCAAAGUCACCAAAUCAGUGUUCCGAAUCAUUCUAAAAUACAUAAUUUAAAAAAAUAUAUAUAAUAUAAGAACCAUCAUAUAUUGUUUAUAUUUUAGAAAUGUACACUAGCCCAUGCUCUUCUGUUCCCGUUGCCUUUUUAGCCAUGUAAGAACCAAGAGAAGCAACUAGUAGUAGGCAAUAAUGAAACAAUGGCAAUGAAAAAGCUUAAGGUAUGUUACAUAAACCAUCAAUGUAAUCAAGCAAAUCACACAGAGAUUAGAGAGAUAUUUAAAAGCUAUUUCUCUUAUCUGGUCCACAUCUUCUUCUUGGGGUCUCUCUCUUUCCCGACCACAGCUUGUUGUUGUUCUCUGCUAACAACUCUCUUCUGAGCCACAGGGACUUGGUUCGACGAACUGACUGGUCUCGUUGGUCUGGUUAAUCUGGCACCAACUUUUGGUGGGUCUGAUUUCCUGAUCCGUUUCUCCUUCAUCUGAGGUUCAUCACCACCGUUGUUCUCUGUUUCACCGCUUCUCGAGACCCUCUUCUUUCUAGUCACCUCAUUGAGGUUCAAAGAAUCGUUUCUUCGAGCAGCACUAGCCUUGAGCCGGUUUGAUGUUCUCAAGAUGUUGUUGUUGUUGGAUUCCGCAUUCUCAUUCCCAAAGUUAUCUUCUUUGAAACAAGUUUUCAC
rnacentral:lncRNA from 1 species